AUUGAACGCUGGCGGCAGGCCUAACACAUGCAAGUCGAGCGGAGCGGCGGACGGGCGAGUAAUGCCUAGGAAUCUGCCUUGUCGUUGGGGAUGACGUCCGGAAACGGGCGCUAAUACCGCAUACUCUCUGCUGUGCCUAGGUCGGAUUAGCUAGUUGGUGGGGUAAGGGCUUACAAAGGCGACGAUCCGUAACUGGGCUGAGAGGAUGAUCAGUCACACUGGAACUGAGACACGGCCCAGACUCCUACGGGAGGCAGCAGUGGGGAAUAUUGCACAAUGGGCGCAAGCCUGAUGCAGCCAUGCCGCGUGUAUGAAGAAGGCCUUCGGGUUGUAAAGUACUUUCAGUCGGGAGGCGUUACCGACAGAAGAAGCACCGGCUAACUCCGUGCCAGCAGCCGCGGUAAUAC
rnacentral:rRNA from 1 species